UGACCAAACCCCUGAAUAUAUGGCUGAGUUUCAAAAUUCAAAUCUCUCGCGUGUUCAUUUCCUUUCCUAGAUUCAUCGAUCGUCCUCUUGCGUGUUCAUCUUCCUCCAACAACACCGUUUCACCGCUAAACCAAAACUCUCCGAUUGAGUUUCAAACACCGCCACACAACGAAGAAGCGCCACCUCCAACUCCGCUUCUUCUCUCUGAUAAAACGACGUUUUUGAAGAGAAAGCGUAUCUUGUUGGUGUUGAGUAGCAGAUUCAUCUUCCUCUCACGCUUCAGUCCCGGCAAUGCCGCCACUGCUUCAUCUUCUCCAGGAAUUCCUUGUUUUCCUAAAAGCUUAUACGAGGGACUUAAGGAAUACUGAAAGAUGAUAUCCUACGCAUUUGGUUGCCGUGAUGUACAAUGUGACUCUGAAGAAAUUUGUGUCCUGUAGAUUGUGGACAAUGAUACUAGGUUGAGAUUGCACUGCAACUACUGAAGUUGUUAGAAUAGAACAAAAAUAUCAUAUUAUAUUGACAUCAUCUUGAACUAUCUAAUAGUAAUAGUAUAAGCUUUUUCUCUUAGAGUAUCUCUUAAGAUCAGUUUUUCUAUUAGUAAUCCAAUUUUUUGGUUGAAUUCCAAUAUGAUAUGCUUGUUUUAAGCAUUCUGUUUAUUAAAAUUUCAGGUUGGUAGCAGCGUGUAUACUUACCGUUUACUUGCCUUUACUUUAUGAAAUACAUGUUCCAUAUUGGCACUUCACUGUCCAUAAUCUAGAGAGCAUGUAUAACGGCACAACUUUCACUGUAAGCUUCCGGUUCACGCCUCUUAAUUUUUCUCUCUACACAUUCUUAAACAUGAAGUGGGAUUAUUUUUUUCCUCUUUUUCAAAUCUCUCUAAUUUGUUUUCAUUCAAUUUUAAGUAACAUGUGGUGUUAGAGAGAAACUUGACGCUCCUUGUAAUGUGGGAUAUAUCGACAAAGAGGAGCUUGGAAUUAAUCAUGAGUAUAAAAAGCCAGCUUGGAGGAGAUCUGAAGUGUGUUGCUAUUUUCUCCUAGAUACAUUUUUCUACUUAAAUAUUUAAACGAAUCACCUUUUUAUGGCUUGUGGCAAUUUCAAACACUUAUUGCCUUUUAUGUAAGUCCUGCAGGCUUGUUCCGUGAAACCCCCCAUAUGAAGGGCCUUUCAAAAAACUGGUCCUGCAUGGUGUUAUGCUCCUACAUGGUGUUAUGCUCCUUUUGAACCAGAAGGAAUUUUAAGGUGUAUAUGGUCUCCAAAUCUUCUUAGUAGCUUGUUUUUGGGUUAGCAGAAAUCUAUUUUCUAGAUUUCAAUAAACUCUUUAUUUACUUUGACUUUGUUUUCUUCAAUGUAGAUGCUAUCAUUUUAUGUGAUCCAAUUAUUGAAAAUGUUUUUUGCAUUGUUACCAAGAAAACGAGUUGAGGACUCGCAUAUUCAAUCUUCUUUUGUUUGAUUUCUUGGUUAGAGCAUGCCAUGAAAUUUUUGCAUACAGUUUUGAAAGGCUUCCUUUUAAGGACUGUAAUAUGAUUAUGAAUUACGAUCGGUGUAUAACUUGCUGUUGUUCCUUAGAGUGAUAUCAUAUGCAACUGCAGCUUAAUAUCUGCUAUUCUAUCCACAAUCAUCGGAUUGCAUUACGGACAUGUACUCAUACACUUUCAGGAUUAUCUUUCUAGAUUGAAGCUUUGUUGUACACACUAAGCUAUGUUUGCGUAACAUCUGGUGCUGCGACAUUAGUUUUUUCAGCCUUCUAUGUAAUGGGUGACUUAAAUGAUACUCUUGGGCAAGAAUUUGGUGAAGAGUUCAAUUUUUAUGUUUUAGUUAGGUUGUGGGAGCAUUCCUAGUAUAGUUGUUGUAAGAGUUUCAAGUUUUAUUUUCCCUAAAGUGUAUCUUUACUCUAUUUUUGACUAAUUUGUUUUGAGAAUUUGGAUGUAACUACUAUUUUCAAGAAUGUGGUUACUCUAUUAAAUUUAUAUGGAUAAAUUUUAUGUAUUUUAUUGA